GAUGAACGCUGGCGGCGUGCCUAAUACAUGCAAGUCGAGCGAACGGACGAGAAGCUUGCUUCUCUGAUGCUAGCGGCGGACGGGUGAGUAACACGUGGAUAACCUACCUAUAAGACUGGGAUAACUUCGGGAAACCGGAGCUAAUACCGGAUGAUAUUUUGAACCGCAUGGUUCAAAAGUGAAAGACGGUCUUGCUGUCACUUAUAGAUGGAUCCGCGCUGCAUUAGCUAGUUGGUAAGGUAACGGCUUACCAAGGCAACGAUGCAUAGCCGACCUGAGAGGGUGAUCGGCCACACUGGAACUGAGACACGGUCCAGACUCCUACGGGAGGCAGCAGUAGGGAAUCUUCCGCAAUGGGCGAAAGCCUGACGGAGCAACGCCGCGUGAGUGAUGAAGGUCUUCGGAUCGUAAAACUCUGUUAUUAGGGAAGAACAUAUGUGUAAGUAACUGUGCGCAUCUUGACGGUACCUAAUCAGAAAGCCACGGCUAACUACGUG
rnacentral:rRNA from 1 species